GGGCGCAGCCUGAUCCAGCCAUGCCGCGUGAGUGAUGAAGGCCUUAGGGUUGUAAAGCUCUUUUAUCCGGGACGAUAAUGACGGUACCGGAAGAAUAAGCCCCGGCUAACUUCGUGCCAGCAGCCGCGGUAAUACGAAGGGGGCUAGCGUUGCUCGGAAUCACUGGGCGUAAAGGGCGCGUAGGCGGCCGAUUAAGUCGGGGGUGAAAGCCUGUGGCUCAACCACAGAAUGGCCUUCGAUACUGGUUCGCUUGAGACCGGAAGAGGUUGG
rnacentral:rRNA from 1 species